UGGCAUCUGUUGACAGCCCAGUUGCUUCUCUUGUGAGUAAGUGGGUUUAAAAUGCAUAGAUGCUAAAUAAACCGUCCCUGCGCUUUCUUCAUGUCAAGUCUGUGACCUGGGAGAUUGAAUUGGGGACAACAUGA